rnacentral:lncRNA from 9 species
CGAGAUUAAGCUGUGCCUUCAGGAGUAUAAGGGAUGGUGAAAGAUGGGAAGGAGAUGGUGAUGUGUGCAGGAGGUAAUGGCAUGAGCUUUGGUGCAGCACAGCCGGGACAUUUCAGGCAUACAAGGAAUGGGGACCAUAUUUCCAGGCCAGACAGGGAUCAUGGGCAAAAUGCUGAAGGCUCUGAGAUGCUUAGAGAAGACUGAAGAGAAUGACUGGGGAGCACAAAGUGUCAGAAACCUAAAAAGCCCAAGGCAUAUGGAGUUCCCCAGCCAACUGCACUUGUGACCUAAGCAGCCCUACCCACCCAAGACUAGGUGAAACGCGGAUGUUUCUACGCAAGAGAGAAGGCUGUAGAGGAAGAGCAGAACUUGAAGAAAUUGAUAUUACUGUGGAAAUAAACAGAAGACUCAGUACUCAUUUCCAGAGAACCUAGAGGACCCAUUCUGACUAGUUAACAAAGCGGCAGCAAAGCGGUAAAAUAGUGACAAAGCGUCUGGGUUCCCCCUCCUCUCGAAAUAGUAUGAAAGGCACCUCUCGGGUAAAGUUUGGGCAGAGCCGGAGAGGCAGCCGAGCUACCCUAGGCUUUCAAGCUCGCACGUCCCACCGGAGCCUCUCACUGAUUCCCCGCCGCCACCACCGUUCCCUGAGCCGCGAAAGACAUGAGCCAGGCCCGCUGGACCGGGAAGAGAACAGAUAUGCUCCCGGAGAUCGCUGCCGCUGUAGGUUUCCUCUCCAGCCUCCUCAGGACCCGGGGCUGCGUGAGCGAGCAGCGACUCAAGGUUUUCAGCGGGGCUCUCCAGGAGGCACUGACAGAGCACUACAAACACCACUGGUUUCCUGAAAAGCCAUCCAAGGGCUCUGGCUACCGCUGCAUUCGCAUCAACCACAAAAUGGACCCCAUCAUCAGUAAAGUGGCUAGCCAGAUUGGACUCAGUCAGCCCCAGCUGCACCAGCUGCUGCCCAGCGAGCUGACCCUGUGGGUGGACCCCUAUGAAGUGUCCUAUCGCAUCGGGGAGGAUGGCUCCAUCUGUGUCCUGUACGAGGAGGCCCCGGUGGCCACCUCCUAUGGGCUCCUCACCUGCAAGAACCAAAUGAUGCUGGGCAGGAGCAGCCCCUCGAAGAACUACGUCAUGGCGGUCUCCAGUUAGAUCCCCUGUGGCCCCCACCUGGCACUCUACUGUACUCAUUCUGCCUGCCGUGACAACAGGCCAUUGCAUACCUCAACCUGGGGAACUGUAUUUUAAAUGAAGAGCUAUUUAUAUAUAUAUUAUUUUUUUUUUUAAGAAAAGAGGAGAAAAAAAAAAAAACCAAAAGAUUUUUUUUAAGAAAAAAAUCCUUAAAGGGAGCUGCUUGGAAGUGGCCUCCCCAGGUGCCUUUGGAGAGAAUCGUUGUGCGCUUGAGUCUGGGAGCCAGUGUCUGCCUAUGGGAGGGGGGAAAGUUCAGGGGGCGGGUCUGGUCAAGGUGAUGGGGGAGAGGCUUGGCUAGCACCCCAGGAAGUUGUGAGAAGGAGCAAGCAAGGUUAGCAACUGUGAAUGAGAGAGGUCAGGAUCUGUCCUGGAUGGAGAAGAGAGGCUGAGUUCUAACCUCUCCCUCUUCUAACCAGGACACCUGCAUCCCCAGCCCCUCUCUUACUCAGGGGCAUUCAAACCUGGACUUAAAUUAUGCUAUAUUGCCUAAUCUUUCUCUUUUAUUUUUCUAAUGAGAUCCUAGGCAGAGAGUGAAAAAGCCUCUCUUGAUUCCUUCUGUCCUGAACAGUUUUUCUUAAAAUCAUGACUUAUUUCUAAUUCUAUUCUCAGGGGCCUAUGGAUGUUGCUACCCACCAAGAAUAUAAAGCUUUUUGUUUGGGGGUUCAGGGGAGUGAGGCAGGGGUUGCAGGUUAUUGGAGUUGGGACAGAAGGGUACUCUGCACGAAAUCUUUGCCUUGCUAUGUGCUGCUCUAUGUGUAUAUGUGGUAAUUUUUUUUUUUUUUUUUUUUUUGGAACUACGUGAAAGUCCUGGCGAUGCUACCAUUAUCCCUUGGAGAGGUGGCUCAAAAGUUACAGGGAACUCCACAUCCUUGAUUACUGCCUUCUUUUUAAAAGCACAACACUCCUCUCUAACUCUCCCUGCUCCUCUCCCCUCCUGGUUGGGUCAUGCAGUUACCCUGUUUUCUAGGACAAAAGUUCUCAGUCACUGUGCAAUAUGGCCUCUUGGGUCCCAGGAGGGUCUGGAGGAGAACUGGCUCUUACAACCUUCUGGUGCCUUGGCAGGCUUAGGGAACCAUCUCUCCCUCUGUCCUUGGGACUAUGGCUGGAUCCUCAGCCUUGCAGUAUUCCUUGGCCGAAUGGGAGAAUGCCCCAAGUUCUGCAGGACUACUUGGUAUUUUUGUAGGGCUGACACUAAAAGCCAAACCUUGGGCAUUGUUUUUUUCUUCCCCGUGCUCAGAGCACCUGUGGGAGAUGUUGCCAUCUCUCAGUACAAUCCAAAUUUGUCUGUAGACUUGUGCAAUAUUUACUGUUUUGGGUUGCAGAAAAAUGCAAAACUACACUGGGAAGAAAUCCUCUUCCUUCAGGUUUUCAGUGGUAUUAGUGAGGGGUCCUCAGAAGGCCUUGAGUAUCGCAAACCCAAGACCAUCUCAAGAAGGAUGGAGCUAGAACAUCUGGUCAACCUGGCUACCCUCCUGCCAUUGCCCCUUGUGGAGAAAACUUCCUCCCCACUGCCAGUCCCCUUUCCUGGAUUUCUUAACUACUCAGUUCUGAUUCAAAGGUGCUAUUUACCAAACACUUUCCCUACCCAUUCCUGCCAGUUCUGCCUCUUCAACGUUCCAGAUCCCCAGCUACCAUCCCAGCCCCUGUUUCCAGUCUUUAUUGCUUUAAAGGUAACUUUGGGCCCACAGACCCAAGAGCUAAUUUUCUGGCCUGUGGGUUGAAACAAAGCUGUGAAUCACUGCAGAUUAUGUUGUUGCAUCUUGUUGGCAAACAGGCCCCUGCCUUUUUAUAAGCAGCCUCAUAGUCUCAUGCUUAAUCUUUUCUCUCUUCUUUUUGAUGUUCACUUUAAAAUCAACAAAACACCCAGAGCUGGACUGUUGAGCAGGCCUGUCUCUCCUAUUAAGUAAAAAUAAAUAAUAGUAGUUUGUAAGCUAUUCUGAUAGAAAAGACAAAGGUUACUAAUUGUAUAAUAGUGUUUUAUAUGGAAGAAUGUACAGGUUUAUGGACAAAUGUACACCUUUUUU